GCUUGUCUCAAAGAUUAAGCCAUGCAUGUCUAAGUAUAAACGAAUUUAUACUGUGAAACUGCGAACGGCUCAUUAUAUCAGUUAUAGUUUAUUUGAUACUUUUCGACUAUUGGAUAACCGUAGUAAUUCUAGAGCUAAUACAUGCGUCAAAACCCAACUUCUGGGAGGGUUGUAUUUAUUAGAUGGAAACCAAUGCGGGGCAACCCGGUAUAUGGUGAUUCAUAAUAACUUUCGGAUCGAUCUUCGGAUCGAUGCAUCAUUCAAGUUUCUGCCCUAUCAGCUUUGGAUGGUAGGGUAUUGGCCUACCAUGGCUUUAACGGGUAACGGAGAAUUAGGGUUCGAUUCCGGAGAGGGAGCCUGAGAAAUGGCUACCACAUCCAAGGAAGGCAGCAGG
rnacentral:rRNA from 1 species